UGCGAGGUAGAGCAGUCUGGCAGCUCGCCGGGCCCAUAACCCGGAGGCCAUGGGUUCAAAUCCCAUUCUCGCUA
rnacentral:tRNA from 2 species